CCCGUAUAAAUGACACGCAUACACCCUUCUUCCGCUCAUCAUUCAUCACCAUGGACCAAUAUGGUACUGAUCUUUUGCCGUUUUUCAUUGGUUUACGAUUACGAUUCCGUUUACUGAGAUCAUUGAUUACAAAAUGGACCAUGCCACUCUAUAAUCAAUGCUGUGAGGUUAAACCGUGAAUCGUAAUAGCAAAUUGUGUUGUAGCUUAAUAUUGUAAUUCAAAAUACCGCCAAAAACGAUAAACCAAUCGGACGGUGAAAGACUAGUGCCAUAUUUGCGCAGUUCGAGACAGAUUUACGCCUAUUGAUAUCGUACCUAGUGUAAUGGUUAGGUUGUACGAGUUGAAGGACACAUCUACAUAGAUUGAGCGUUCACUACUUUAGUAAAUCGAUGUUAGGUCAUAGUAUGGGCGUGACAUACGGUUCGAAGAAAUGCCGCCGAAGUGCCACGGCCGAUUCGCAAUACGCCGCCGGGGAGUGGCG